UCAAAAUCACAUUCUUCCUUACCAUAUUUGUGGAAGUGUCAGUGCAUUUCUCAUGAUGGUUGAUUGUUUAUUAUUCAUUUAUGUUUAUGAUGAUAAAUGUUUAAUAUCUGUAACAGUUUAACAGAAGGAUUGUUCAUAUUUGUGUCUAAUUUGCAUAAUUUGUCAUUGUUUCAGACCACACUCACCCUCAUUCAUUCACACAAACACAACUGCUUACAGACGUGACCUGUUUUCUGAAUCCAGCGUAUCAUUAAUAGUUUUGUGGAUUGAACUCUUGGAGCUCUUACUCUCUAACCGAGUCAAGGACGAUCUCAGCAGUCCAGAGGCUUCAGACACUGACAGUGUUUCAUUAUAAACUGAUGAACAUGAACAAACCUCAUCUCUCCAUUAGUCCAACUCUUCUGACUCAUUUCAGAGAAUAAAGUGUGGACUAACAUUAGUCAGAAUGUAAAGUAACUCUUCUGUAACUCUAGUGUAUAUUAGUUUGUCUGUUGUAAAUCCUGCCCACUUCUUUGCAUUGUCACACAUGCUUCAGUGCUCUGAGAGUGUUUAUAGUGCUGUGAGUUUAACACUUCAUGACUGAGAGCAGAACAGAACACAAUCUUCAUCAUCACACAAGACAAAAGAACAACAAUGAACAAAAUCACCUUCUUCAUCUGGACUCUCACACUGUUUAUUCAAGAAUCCAGAGGAGUGACUCUGACUCAACCUGAAGUUAAAACUGUCCAACAGGGUCAAACAGCUACAAUAGAGUGUCAUAUAGAUGUAGGAAUAUA